rnacentral:lncRNA from 1 species
CACAAACCUUUUCUCUCAUUUUAUUGUAGUAUUUUAUGCACGCUGUUAUGCACCUGUCACCAUCAUCAAUCCUGAUAUCGUUUUUAAUGCGCAAGCCGUGGCCACAAUUUUCUUCGUGCGCUCUGCUUUAAUCACAUGUUAAUUUCAUGCACAGCAAAAAGUUGCCCAGGGUUAAAUUCACAAAUAGAAAAAUGAAAUAAAUUAACGAAGGACUAUUUUUCACAGGCUUCUACAUGUGAAAUUUAAGAAAUUAAAUUUAAGAAAUUUAAGUGAAAUUCUUCUCCACUCUUGACGUCAAAGAAUUCAGCAGUGCAGGAACAUGGCAGUCUACUCGGGACAAGAAGGAGUGGGAGAAGAGAGAAAGGAAGAAAUAAUAAUGUGAGAAAAACAGGUACAGUACUGUUUUAGCACUUUUCGCCCCGCUCUCCUCCACUUCCCUACUAUCUAAGCGCCUUUUAACUAGGGGCGCCCUAAAUCCAAGCACUUGCCGCUUUACCUGGGCUGGCGCCUUUUAGUGACGCAGCCUUCCCAUUCUCGCGGGAACUUGGGAGUGGGAGCCGGGUAGAGCGAACAAAUCUCGCAAUCUCAGUUGGCCCGGGAGUAGGAUUGGCAGCUGAGGAUCUACAGGGGCGGGGCGGGGAGCCCGAAAGAGGCGGGGCCAGGCCUCGGAGAAGGGCGGGGAGAGAGGCUGGGGGCGGGGCCGCGCGCCCAGGACCUGUUGAGCGCAGGUACAGCCGGCUAGUCGGAGCGCCCUCGGGAUUUGCGACUGCGCAUGCUCGCCGUCGGCGCCCCGCCAGUAGCCCCCCGGCGGUGACGAGCCGGCUGCGCGCGGCUGUGGCGGCGAUGUGAGUGGGCCAGGGGCGGGAUGGUGCUGACCCGGAGCGGGUCGUCUUCCUCCAGCUGGACCGCGAGCUCCUCUGUCCGCCGGACGCGGGGCGAGGUCGCGCCGGCCGAGAGGGUAGAAAAUCAUCUGGAUUAUGUAUUUCAUUUUGCAAUCUCAAAGCAGUUGGCAAACAGUAAAUUCUUCCUUACCUUAUCAACGUCAGGUAGGAAUUAUUUCUGCUUCUAUUUUAAGAAAGGAAAUACUAAGAUAAGAGUGCAGUUCCUUGCUCCAAAUGAUUUAUAGGUAAAAGUAGUAGGAUCUGUCAUGAGGACUUCCUUUAGAAGAGCCAACUAUUACGUAUGGUAAGAGGUGAUGAAUUCCUCAGCUUUUAAGGUGUUUUAAACAAUUUUUUUCACAUAUACAGAAAGAUAAGUACUAUUUCUAAGGGUUGCUCUUUAAAGCAGAUUUUAUCUUUAGGUAAAGGCAGAUUUUUUUUUUUAUUCUUAAGUAAAUAGUCCUUUAAAAAAGUCAAUACCUACAGACACUUCGUAUUAUCCUGAGUUGACCCUAUAGUCUUACUGUAUUAGUGUAAGCAUGGUGUCUAGCAGGCACAGGACUAGAUGUCAAAAGAUUUCAACUCUACGCUGACUCAUGACGUAAGUUUGGGGAAGCCACUUAACCUCUAUACCUCUACGUAUGAAAUGUGGGUAAUAAGGGUAGGCCACCCAGUAAUCAGUAGCAAUGCCCUAAUCAUUUCAACAUGCUUAGAGCCACAGACAAAAAAAAGCUUUAUACAUACCAAAUUUUU